rnacentral:rRNA from 1 species
GACGAACGCUGGCGGCGUGCUUAACACAUGCAAGUCGAACGGACAGGCCCUGCUUUUGUGGCGUGCUCGAGUGGCGAACGGGUGAGUAACACGUGAGUAACCUGCCCUUGACUUUGGGAUAACUUCAGGAAACUGGGGCUAAUAUCGCAUAGGAGCUCUUGCUCCAUGUGGGGGGUUGGAAAGUUUCGGCGGUUGGGGAUGGACUCGCGGCUUAUGAGCUUGUUGGUGUGGUAGUGGCUUACAAAGGCUUUGACGGGUAGCCGGCCUGAGAGGGGGACCGGCCACAUUGGUACUGAGGUACGGCCCAGACGCGUACGGGAGGCAGCAGGGGAGAAUAUUGCACAAUGGGCGGAAGCCUGAUACAGCAACGCCGCGUGCGGGAUGACGGCCUUCGGGUUGUAAACCGCUUUCGCCUGUGACGAAGCGUGAGUGACGGUAAUUGGUAAAGAAGCACCGGCUAACUACGUG